GAUAGGUCUGGUCAGUUGAGUCCCUACCAAGAUUAAGCAUCUGUCACAACAAAGACAUACUGGAAAUGAAGGACCAAGCGGGCCAAUGCAUGACUUCAUGAACUUUUGAAACUGCCUCUGCAAGAGGGAAAUCAGAUAUUUGAUGCACCGAUCAACUAUUGGCCCGAGACACUGAGUUGAUGCACUUGAAAGUCUAAAAUUGACUGGCUCCCUGGACCGCUGGACGUCCUUGGUGUUUUAAUACUUGACAUAGCCAAUUUGGUUUUGUUUUGAGACCUUCAUAGUCAAUAUUUGACCUUUAGGCAAGGAAUCUGGCUGGAAGCGUUUAUAAAAGGGUGCCGCCCUCUUGGGCGGCAAAAUAUUCUACAGGUCCUUCGUACCUACGCUCUGGUUGCCUGCCUUCCUUUUAAAGGUGCGGGCCAGGAGGCACCGGCCGGAUGAACCAACGGCGUCUCAAGUUCCGCCCCUGCGGAGGAGGUGAGAUGCCAGGCUGCGCAUGGCACGGCGCUGCGGGCGUGGGCGAGGCGCCCUGCUGAGUUUUUGCCGCGGGGGUGUUAGGCUAGCCCGCGCUUCUCCAGAAUCUGAGCUUAUCAGUUGCUCCAUUUGCUCCAAGCUACUGGCAACAAAUUGUUCUGUUGCCUACAGAAAUAAGCUCGCGACGACGCGCAUUGUGAGGUGCAAUGCAGCAGCGGCGUCCCGGCCAAACCGGGGGUUCAGUGCGAAAUAUUAACAUGGACUUAGUGGUCUAGUAAAAUUAAACAAUAGUAAUAAGGAACAAUAUAACAUAUAUGAUAUAUAUAUAUAUAUAAUGUAUUACAUAUAAAUGGAAUAUUUCAGGAAUUAUUGUACCUGUUCUUUGUAUUUUUUAGACUGAUUUGCCAACGAUAUGACUUGCAAUGGAAAGAAUAAAAUUAAUAUA